UUGAUUUGCCAUAUCACCCUGCAGCCCAAGACUGGUUGCCCACUGAAGCUAAGCAGGGUUGAGCCUGGUCAGUACCUGGAUGGGAGACCUCCUGGGGAAACUAGGUUGCUGCUGGAA
rnacentral:rRNA from 1 species